rnacentral:rRNA from 1 species
CCUACGGGCGGCAGCAGUGGGGGAUAUUGCACAAUGGGGUAAACCCUGAUGCAGCGCCGCCGCGUGGGUGAAGAAGCGCCUCGGCGCGUAAAGCCCUGUCAGCAGGGAAGAAAAUGACGGUACCUGCAGACGAAUCCCCGGCUAACUACGUCCCAGCAGCCGCGGUGAUACGUAGGGGGCACGCGUUAUCCGGAUUUACUGGGUGUAAAGGGGGCGCAGGCGGCGGUGCAAGUCAGGAGUGAAAGUCCGGGGCCCAACCCCGGGACUGCUCCUGCGACUGCGUGGCUAGAGUGCAGGAGGGGCAGGCGGAAUGCCGGGUGUAGCGGUGAAAUGCGUAGAUAUCAGGAGGAACACCGGUGGCGAAGGCGGCCUGCUGGACUGCAACUGACGUUGAGGCCCGAAAGCGUGGGGAGCAAACAGGAUGAGAUACCCCAGUAGUC